rnacentral:lncRNA from 1 species
UCACUUGGGAGGAGUUAUUAUCAAGACCACCAAUAGACUCAAAGACUGUGCUUCUAAGUGUUUGCAUCCCAUUUAAGAAAGAUCAAAGUUCUCACCAAACUCAUUCUAGAUUUUUGUUUGAAACCUAUCGAGCGGCUCCACGACCUCAUGGGAAUGCAUUGGCAUAUGUAAAUGCUGCAUUCCAGGCUGAUGUUUCUCACUGCAAUAACAGCGUCCUUAUAAACAAUAUCUAUUUGGCGUUUGGUGCGUAUGGCACAAAACAUGCAACAAGGGCUAAAAAGGUAGAAGAAUGUCUAACGGGGAAAAUGAUGAGUGUACAUGUUUUGUAUGAAGCACUUAAAUUAGUCAAAUUAGCGGUGGUACCGGAAGAUGGCACUUUACACCCUGAGUACAGAUCAAGCUUGGCCGUCAGUUAUGUUUUUGAGUUUCUUUAUCCCUUAACUGAUGUUCAUCCUUCUAUUUCUGGUGGUUUACUGGAUGGAAUUAAUGACAUCUCAGACAAGGAAGUUUCGGAAAGUAGUAAUAAUGGUUGCAUUAGUCAGGGGAGAAAACAAAAACUGCUAUCUUCUUCUAAGCAGGUCGUGGAGUUCAGUACGGAGUACUCUCCAGUAGGUGAACCGUUGAAGAAGAUUGGAGCUGCCAUGCAAGCUGCUGGUUUGUUAUCCCCUUUUAAUAUUUUAUUUCAUCUUGUGCAUGUUAACUACAACAAUUUUUCCAGUCCUUGACUUCUGGUUUUUGACAUUUAAGGCAUCUAUGUUGUUUGGACACUUCAAAAAUGUUAGCAUCUAUGUUGUUUGGACAACGUUUUUGGAGGAUCCAGCAGCAUAGUUAAAUUGAAAAUGAUAUCUGAUAUUUAAAGUGAAAUUACACUACUAAAGUAAUAGCAAGUACAGGAGGGAAGGUCUAUUCUAAGAGAUAUGAAAUCGGGGAAAUAGUUUACUUUCUAUCAGCUUUGGAUAAAACAUUGCGUUAAGAUUUAUUCAACACCUGUGGUACAACUUUUGUUACCAUUCUUUGGGGUGUUAAUACAUAUUUUUCCCAAACUUUGUUGUGUGUUUUGGAUUCCGUUUUCAGGUGUUACCAAUUGGUCAUUCUUCUCCUUUUUUGUUGCCAUUGUUGUCAUGUAUUCCUCUUGCCAUGUUUUUGUUUUUCUUAAAUACAAAAUAGCUUAUCUGCACACCAGUUUAACUAUAACUUUGUGUCUGCAACAUUCUGAACUUUAGGUGUGCUGGUUUACAUAAUAUUUUUCAGGCGAAGCUGUUUAUGUAGAUGACAUUCCUUCACCACCAAACUGCUUGCAUGGAGCGUUUAUCUACAGUACAAAGCCAUUAGCUGGUGUCAAGGGAAUCCAGCUUGAGCCUAAUCAUUUAACAGACACCACCAUAAUUACAUACAAAGAUAUCCCAACAGGAGGGGCAAAUAGAGGAGCUGUUACACCAUUUGGCUCCGAGCCCCUAUUUGCUGAAGAUCUCUCCCGCUGUGCUGGUGACAGAAUUGCAUUUGUGGUGAGCACUUCAAGUUUCUUUCUGCUGAGAUUGGUUUUUAUGCAAUGUUAAUUUCUCAUACACUAAAAAAACAUUGAAAUUUUGAACUUUUUUCCUUAUGUUGUUGAAACACCAUAGGUUGCUGAUAGUCAGAGGUCUGCAGAUGUGGCUGCAAGAACUGCCCUCAUUGAAUACGACACUACAAAUGUAGAUUCAGCCAUUUUAACUGUUGAGGAAGCUGUUGAGAAAUCUAGUUAUAUCCAAGUCCCUCCACCUUUUCAGCCUGAACAGAUUGGUGAUUUCUCAAAAGGAAUGGCUGAAGCUGAUCAAAAAAUUCUCUCUGCUGAGGUACUUUUGUUUUCUCUACUGUUCAUAUCUGUUUUUUGUUGCUCGGAUUCUCCAAAAUCAUUGUGGUACCCAUAGUGGAUCCUCCAAAAUGCACUAUUGGAGGAUUCGGCACACACCUGGUGGGCAUAUUUGAAGAGACUGAGAACAUAGCAUUGUUCCAAUGGUUUCCUAAAUUUGAUUCCUAGAUGGUGAUGUAUGCUAAAGGUUCAAACAUAUUACUUAUCGUUUCUUUUAAUAUCCAUUUUCCAGUUAAGAUUCGGUUCCGAGUACCAUUUUUAUAUGGAGACACAGACUGCCCUCGCAAUUCCAGAUGAAGACAACUGCAUGGUUGUUUAUACUUCAAGCCAGUGCCCUGAGAAUUCACAGAGUGUAAUUGCCAGUUGUCUUGGUGUUCCUGCACACAACAUCCGCGUAAUUACAAGAAGGCUUGGAGGUGCCUUUGGGGGCAAGUUUGUCAAAGCAAUGCCUGUGAGUAUACGAAAAAGAAAUAGUAAUAGUAACAAUUUUCUGACAGUGAUGUUAAAGUUUAUGUAUAAUUCUAGGUUUCCACAGCCUGUGCACUAGCAGCAUACAAGUUGAGAAGACCUGUCAGGAUAUAUGUCAACCGGAACAGUGACAUGAUAAUGACAGGAGGACGGCACCCGAUGAAAGUAACAUACAGUGUAGGAUUCAAGUCGAGCGGAAAGAUCACAGCAUUACACCUUGAUAUAUUGAUAAAUGCUGGGAUCACAGAUGAUUUAAGCCCCGUCAUACCAUUAUCUCUGAUGAAUACACUAAAAAAAUAUAAUUGGGGUGCCUUGUCUUUUGAUAUACAAGUAUGCAAGACAAAUCUCACCAGCAAAACGAUCAUGCGGGGUCCUGGGGAGGUGCAAGGAUCUUAUAUCGCCGAAGCUAUAGUAGAGCACGUCGCAAGUUUACUGUCGAUUGAGGUGGACUCGGUCAGAAAUGAGAAUGUUCAUACAUUUGAAAGCCUUAACUUAUUCUAUGGUAACGUUGUAGCAGAAGGAGAAUAUACAUUGCCUGGUAUCAUGGAUAAGUUGGCAGUCUCGUCCAGCUUUUUCCAACGAAGCAAGAUGAUAGAACAGUUCAACCAGAAAAACACAUGGAAGAAAAGGGGCAUUUCUCGAGUACCAGCUGUGUACAAUGCUUUGCAACGACCGACACCAGGAAAAGUGAGUAUUCUGCAAGAUGGAUCAAUUGUUGUGGAGGUUGGAGGGGUUGAUGUUGGCCAAGGGCUAUGGACAAAGGUUAGACAGAUGACUGCCUAUGCUCUCGGUUCAAUCAAAAGUAGUUGGGCCGAACACCUUGUCGAGAAAGUACGAGUCAUACAAGCAGACACCUUAAGUGUAGUGCAAGGUGGAUUAACGGCUGGAAGCACCACAUCGGAAUCAAGCUGUGCAGCUGUUAAACUUUGCUGUGAUAUCUUGGUUGAAAGACUGACCCCUUUGAAGAAACAGUUGCAGGAAAAAAAUGUUUCUGUUGAUUGGCCAAUGCUGAUUCGCCAGGUUUGUUUUCGACGCUGCAAGACACACUUCUCAGUCAGUCACUUUCGGUUUUCUGGAUUGCUUUUUGAAAUCACUGUGAACUUGUUUUCUUAAGAUGUUCUCAUUGCAAGCCUUAUCAUCAAUGAUUACCUUGUUCUUAUAAACAUUUCGCCUCAUCCAAACAGAACUCUUGAUGGAACUAGUCAGAAGAUAAUAUACUCUGAAGUCAUAUUUGAUAUCAUUUUUCUUCUUUUGCAGGCACAAACACAAUCAAUAAACUUAGCAGCAAAUUCUUAUUAUGUGCCAGAAUUCUUGAGGUAUUUGACCUUCGGCGCUGCUGUCAGUGAGGUAAACUUGUUACUCCUAUCAGUUUUUCUUGUUCCAUGCCUCAGUCUGCUACUUUAAAGAAGAUUCCCCUUUCAAUACAUAGAGAAGAUCAUCAAGAUUUUGCUGAAUUUAUUCCAAGAACUUAGUUCGAAUCAGUAUAUCGGAAUAUCAAUACUGAUUGGAAUAUCAGCACUGAUCCGAUCAAGCUCUCUUAUUGAGAAUGAUCAUAUACUAUGCCUCGAAGAGGACUCGAACCUCCACCCGCUUAAGAAAUUGAGUCUCGUGUGUAUCAUUUCACCACCAAGAUAUCUUGAAAGUGAAUCGUAUGCAAUGACUAUCAAUUUUCAAUAUAUAUGAGUGCACAACACUCGGCAGGGGAACUCCGGUUGUGGACCACUUUGCAGCCAAUAUAUCUUCAUAUGGAUAAGUAAAAAAUAGAACUCUUUUUUGCAGGUGGAGAUAGAUGUUCUGACUGGAGAGACUACCAUUUUGCAGUCGGAUAUUAUUUACGACUGCGGACAGAGCUUGAAUGCAGCUGUUGAUUUGGGACAGGUUCUUCCCUUCAUUGCAGAUUCGCUUAUACAAUUAAGAGAUGCAUCAUACACUCGAACCGUAUUCAAACUUCAGAACUAUCUGCUUCUUAAUCACAAGAUUGUUCAUAACUGUGGUGAUUGUUUUUCUUUUCCUUGCUACAGAUUGAAGGAGCUUUCGUACAAGGAAUCGGAUUUUUCAUGAACGAAGAAUAUGUUACUAAUGAAGAUGGGUUAAUGGUCUCAAAUAGCACUUGGACAUACAAGAUCCCAACUAUUGACACCAUACCCCAGAAUUUCAAUGUUCAUCUCGUAAACAGUGGACAUCACGAACAACGUGUUCUCUCAUCCAAAAGUAAAACUCUUUUCUUCAUUUCCUUUAGCUUUACCAUGUGUCAUAUGAGUUCUCCAUGUUCUUGAGUUCACAGGAACGCAAUAACUUUUGUCCAGACUUUGUAUAGAUAUAUCGAGAAAUCAACUAAAUAUCUAUAAAUACUUGUUAGUGAACUAUGUUAUUAUUGUAUAUAUACUAACUUGAGCUCAAUGCAGGAACAUAUAAACUUCAAAUUCUGAAUUUGCUUUAGUUCAUACAAACCGUUGAAUCUUAUUAUAAUCAACUUUUUUGCAGCAUCUGGUGAACCACCACUGUUUCUGGCAGCUUCGGUCCAUUGUGCAACAAGGGCAGCCAUAAGAGCAGCACGUGAACAGCUCAAACGUUGGGACAAGCUCAACGAGUCUGCUUCAGAAUUCUAUCUAGAUGUCCCUGCAAUAUUACCAGUUGUGAAGACACAGUGUGGCCUGGAUUAUGCAGAGAAGUUCGUAGAAACUUUGCUGGCUCGGUAAUCAACUUUUUUGCAGCAUCUGGUGAACCACCGCUGUUUCUGGCAGCUUCGGUCCAUUGUGCAACAAGAGCAGCACGUGAACAGCUCAAACGCUGGGACUAGCUCGACGAGUCUGCUUCAGAAUUCUAUCUAGAUGUCACUGCAAUAUUACCAGUUGUGAAGACACAGUGUGGCCUGGAUUAUGCGGAGAAGUUCGUAGAAACUCUGCUGGCUCGGUUGUCAACGUGCUUCAAAUGAUACUAAGCUAUGUUUCUCAGACUCUCUAGAAUGUUGUCGCACUCGUGUCGAGUCCUCGAAAAAUAAAUAUUACUUUGUGAGGAUCUGACAUGCACCGUGAGGCCUUUUCGAAAAGAUCACAAUCAAUUCCAUGAUGAUUGAGCUUAUGAUGAUCACAAUCAAUUCCAUGAGCUGUAUUUUAUUAGAUUGUAUUCUAAUAAAAUGAUAUUGUCCAUUUUUACAUGUCCACUUGUAAUUGAGUUUAUUAUAUAUAUAUUCAAAGGAUGAUAUAGUAAAAUUUAUUAGGUCUGAUGAUGAGUUUCUUUAGAAACUGAAGUCAUUCCUUAAGCAUAACUUAUGGAAUAUCACUACAACAAAAAUAACUUUAAGCGGCUAUAAAUAAACACAUUAAUAAAGAGCGCCAAAGUUUUUAUCGAUAUUAGUUUAGUGUCAUUGGAUCCAAAACCUUUAGGACAUAUACAAAGAGUGCUAAUUGCCGCUAAAAAUACGUCUUAAGCGGAAAUUAUAGCAAUUGCCGCUGAAGCUCAUUUUUGAUGUAGUGCACUACAACAAAAAUGUCGCUAAAUAGCGGCAAUUGACACUCCUUGUAUAUGUCCCUAAAGCCUUUAGCGACAUUGGUUCUAAUGACACUAAACUAAUGCCGAUAAAAACUUUAGCACUCUUUAUUAAUAUCAAUAUUUAAUGUCGCUUAAAGUUAUUUUAUCGUAGUAACACAAAAUAAUUGCUAUCCCUAUCAAAUCCUCUUGCCUUUGGGGUCCAUGAAACCUUAUAUGACUUUAUAAUAUAACUAAUCAUUAUAAGCAAGAAAAUAUUUGAACUAAUAUAUUACGUACUAUUUUAUGUUUGACCAUAUUGUGCAUUUAUGUGACAAACUUUAGUGUUAAAAUCUAACUAUUUCAAGAUUCUUGGUUUUUCUCUGAACAGUUUCUGAUAUAAAGUUCAUUUGUUAAUUCAUGGGAUAAUGCAUAAGUAUCUUUUAAUUUAUGUUCGAAAUUUUAAAGACACACUUAUAUUAUAUUAAGGUCUUAUUACUUUUUAAACUUAUAUUAUUAAUAAUUUUCUACUCCUUUUCGAUCUACGUGGCACUAUCUUGUGGGUCCAACGCUGAUUGAUUUUUUUUUUCCAGGUUAGUGCCACGUAGGCUAAAAAGGAGUAGAAAAUUACUUAUAAAAUAAGUUCAGACGGUAAUAAGACAUUACUAUAGUAUAAUUGUGUCUAUGAAAUUUCGAGCAUAGAAUGAGGGUGUACUUGUGUAUUUUCCCUUAAUCUGUCUAAUAUCAAUCUCAGUGUAAAUUUAGAGAUUGUAUAACAAAAAGAUAAUAAUACUCUCUUCGUCUCAAUUUAUAUGAGAUUAUAGAUAUUUGCGUGCUAUAAAUUAUUUCACUGCAGGUAAAAUAUGGAUUGUAAAAUUAAAUUGCUACUAAACAAAAAAAAUGAAAAAAAAUUUCGGACAGACUAAUUAAAUUAGGACAAGUGACUAUAGUAUUAGUUGAAUUUUAGAUGAUUAAUAGAGAAAUUAAGAGGAUUGAGUGAAUUAGAAGUUACAUUGGGAGGUAGCUUUAGUGAUAAAUAAUUAAAUCUCUUUAAAAAUAGGAAGAUAUUUUUUUUUGACUUUUUUAAAAAAAAUUAAAAUAUUCAUCCCACAUGUUUAGUGAAUGAAAUAACUAUUUUCAGCUGAAUAAUUCAGCUUAUUAUGAUCACAAUCAAUUCCAUGAGCUGUAUUGAAUGACAUUUCACACGUUUAGUAGGUUGAUGGACAAUAUCUGAUCUUUUUAUUUUUUUUUAUUAUUUGAUAAUUCGGAUUAAAAAUUUAAGUUUAAAAGUUAUCAAUAAAAAGUAUUUUAAUGAUAAUCUUGAUUAGUUGGACCAGUAAUAUUGAAUAUUAUAUAAAGAGGGAUAGUGGAUGGGAUGUGAUCUCUCCACUUUUCAAUUUUGUCGGUUGGAAUAAUUAAUACGAUAUAAGACUGAUUUUAUUAAUAAAAAAUAUGUUAAAAUACUAACGCAAGGGAUGUGAGCCCUAAAUAAAAGGAAACAACUUAUAUGAUUUCGAUUUAUUUUUAUCAAAAAAAAAAAUUCACUAGAUAAUCAAACAAGUAAAUCCACCCUAAAAUUUAUUGAAUAUCUUCCGAACACGCAAUGUAUAUCUUUUAAAUAAAAUAAAGAAGACUCAUUUAUAUUAUCGGUUGAAAGUUUGACUCUAUGUCAUUUCCGUUUAAGAAAAUAUUCAUGCAAAAUUAGAAUUAUUUUUUUCUUUUUAAAUAAUGACAUGGAUAAAUCUUUUCAAAUAACUUUUUUAAAACGAAUAACAUAAAUAUAUCUUUUAUGAAAGUUCGAUACAUAUUUAAAUUUUUUUCCGAAAAUGAAAAGGUUUGGCUGAAAGAAAGAUAACAUCACAACAUGUAAAGCACAUGCAAAGGCAUAAAGAAGAUUUCUCUUUAAUGUAUAAUCUAUAAAUAGAUAGAGAGAAGUAGGAAAGUAAUUACAUUAAAUUAUACUCUAAUAAUUAGACCUUCUAUAAUAAUUAUGACAUGGUCGAUUUAAAUUGGUUGAAUUUUUCUCAAUCAUACUUUGAAAAUAUUUUCUUCAAAAUAAUAUCACAUUUUACAAUAGUAAUUUCAAUAAUUUUGAAAAAGAUAAGAUUUUUAAGAAAAUAUAUCUGUUGAUUUUUUUAUAUUGAAAUUUUCAUUAGUUAUGUUUGCGUAGAUUAUAUAAUUACAAUUUUUCAUUUAAAUGUAUUUAAAAUAAUGAUUUUAAAAAAAACAAAAUAAUCUUUCAACUUUUGAAUGUUAUUAAUUAGAGGAUGCGUUUAGUAUGAAAAAAAAUAUAAUUUUUUUUAGAGACAAGUGUCAAAAAUACAUUGAACUAUAUUGACUUUUUUUUAGUUUCAUACGUAAAUUACUAUUAAGAGUGUGAAUAAAACCUUCAUCAUAUGACAUUAAUGCCGACCUCUAGAGGUUGAAAUUAAAUAGCGACCAAGUUUUUACCUAUCUAAGAUGGGAGGUCACUUUUUGAUCGGUAUUUCAGGAAAUACACCGACCUUCGGAGAUUGAUAUUCACCAUUUUUUUGGUCGUGAUUCCAUAUGAAUAAAAUAUUACAUCUUGAAUUUUUUCUCAAACAGUAAUAUAUUGAUAAAUUAAAUUUUUUAAAAGUUCAAUAAUAUAUUUGAACAUUUUCCUUCAAAUAAAAGUACUUGUUGGGAAGAUUGAUAACAUCACAACAUGUAAAGCACAAGUAAGGGCAUUAAAAAAAAGAUCUCUUUUAUCUUUUACCUAUAAAUAGAAGUGUGGAAAUAGUAAUCUUAAAUUAGUAUAAAGUCCUUCACUUAAUAACUAUAAUUAUGACCUGAGUGGUUCAAAAUUAAAAGUUGGAAAUAUUUUCUUUUGAAAAAUAAUCAUCACAUUUUACAUAAUUGUGGGUUUUCAUUUUCCCUUAAUAAUGUAGCAUAAAGUUAUUUGUGUUAAAGGUCAAGUUGGUGGGAUACCCCAAUUUUUAUAAUUCAAGAUUCUAAUAAUUGUGAUAUUUUUCAGCUCAUUUUGUAGAAGAAAAGUUGAAAAAGAUAAGAUUUUUGAUAAAGGGUAUGUGUCAAAGUUAAUCAUUUCAGCUAUCAAAGAAUCUUGAUUUAAGAAGCAUUGGUGUUAUAGAGUAAGCAUUUGGACACCCAAUGAUCAACAUUCUUGAUUUUUCUUUCAGUUGUGAUAUUUUUUUAGCUCAGUAUGUAGAAGAAAAGUUGAAAAAGAUAAGAUUUUUGAUAAAGGGUAUGUGUCUAAAUGAACUGUUUAAGCUAUCUAUGAAUCUUGAUUUAAGAAUCAUUGGUGUUAUAGAGUAAGCAUUUGGACACCCAAUGAUCAAGAUUCUUGAUUUUUCUUUCAGUUGUGAUAUUUUUUUAGCUCAGUAUGUAGAAGAAAAGUUGAAAAAGAUAAGAUUUUUAAUAAAGGGUAUGUGUCUAAGUGAACUGUUUAAGCUAUCUAUGAAUCUUGAUUUACGAAGCAUUGGUGUUAUAAAGUAAGCAUUUGGACACCCAAUGAUCAAGAUUCUUGAUUUUUCUUUCAGUUGUGAUAUUUUUUUUAGCUCAGUAUGUAGAAGAAAAGUUGAAAAAGAUAAGAUUUUUAAUAAAGGGUAUGUGUCUAAAUGAACUGUUUAAGCUAUCUAUGAAUCUUGAUUUAAGAAUCAUUGGUGUUAUAGAGUAAGCAUUUGGACACCCAAUGAUCAAGAUUCUUGAUUUUUCUUUCUGUUGUGAUAUUUUUUUAGCUCAGUAUGUAGAAGAAAAGUUGAAAAAGAUAAGAUUUUUAAUAAAGGGUAUGUGUCUAAGUGAACUGUUUAAGCUAUCUAUGAAUCUUGAUUUACGAAGCAUUGGUGUUAUAAAGUAAGCAUUUGGACACCCAAUGAUCAAGAUUCUUGAUUUUUCUUUCAGUUGUGAUAUUUUUUUUAGCUCAGUAUGUAGAAGAAAAGUUGAAAAAGAUAAGAUUUUUGAUAAAGGGUAUGUGUCAAAGUUAACUGUUUCAGCUAGCAAUGAACUUAAACUAUUCAAGAUUCUUGCUUUUUUCUUUCAUUUCUGUUAUUUUUCAGCUCAGUAGGUUGAAAAAAAGUUGAAAAAGAUGAGAUUUUUGAUAAAGGGUGUGUGUCAAAGUUAACUUCUUCAGUGUUUCAGCUAGCCAAGAAUCAUGAUUGAAAAAGCUUUUAGACAUCCAAUUCAAUGAUUCUUUUUUUUCAGUUCUGGUAAUAUUUCAGCUCAGUAUAUAGAAAAAUUUUGAAAAAGAUUGAGAUUUUUGAUAAAGGGUAUGUGUCAAAGUCAACUGCUGUCAGUGUUAUAGCUAGAUAAGAAUUUUGAUUCAAGAAGCUUUUGUGUUAAAAAGUCAAGUUUUUGGAUACCAAAUUUGUAUAAUUCAAGAUUCUAGUUUUUUUUUUCUAAUUCUGGUAAUUGUUCAGCUCAGUAAGAGAAAAAAGUUGAAAAAAUGUGUCAUUGCUUCAGCUAGCCAAGAAUCUUGAUCUAAGAAGCUUUUGUGUAAAAAGUCAAGCUUUGGACACCCAAUUCAAGAUUCUUGUUUUUUUUUUCCAGUUCUGGUAAUUUUUCAGCUCUGUAAGUUGAAAAAAGUUGAAAAAGACUAGAUUUUUGGUGAAAGGUAUGUGUCAAAGUUAACUGCUUCAGUAUUACAGCUAGCCAAGAAUUUUUUAUUCAACAAUCUUGUGUUAAAAAGUCAAGUUUUUGGACUCCUAAUUCAAUUCAAGAUUCAGUUUCUUCUUUCACUUCUGAUAUUUUAAAAGACAAUAUUUUUUUGUGAAGGAGCUAACCAUAGAAUUUUGAUUUUAAGGAGGCUAUUGUAGUAAUGGAGGAAAGACAGAAAAAGGGGAAUUUGGUGUUUGCAGUUAAUGGAGAGAGGUUUGAGUUGCCAUCCGUUGAUCCUUCGACAACUUUGCUUCACUUCUUGCGCUCGGAGACUUGUUACAAGAGUCCUAAGCUUGGUUGUGGUGAAGGUAAUGAAUGAUCUUCUUUUCUUUCACCACUCUGUUACAUGUAUAAAUAUGUUUUUCUUUUUGAAAAACCGUGGUGUUCAAGCCUGUUUGUAUGUCUCGACUAGUCUCAAGGGUAGCUUGUUCAUCUCCCACCAUCCCACCAACACAACAUUGGGUAACUCUGUGUGUCAAGGCUUGGACAAAUAAGAAGAAAUAUCUAGUGUUUGUUGAAAUUUGAACCUGAGAUCUCAUGAUCUUAAUCUUCCUAGCGUAUACAAUACGUUUGUUUUUGGUGCUAUUAUAUAAUUAAGAAGCUUUGAAUUUCCUUAUAUUUGUGUUCUUAUGUCCAAUGUUCAUGGAAUUUGAUAAAUUCUAGUGUACUUCUCUUACGCACCCGUCAUAUGCAGAAAGCUUAUGAUAACUUAUUAGGAAUUCCUUUGAUGCUUUUUGACAUCUCUGCAUUUCUGUGCUACUUAAGCCUUUCAUGUCCAUUGAAGGGUGUGAUGGAACGGUAAAGAUUCUUUCACCUCUAAAAAAAGUCUCUGGUUUCAAGUGUUGGGAGUAGGACACUGUAUUUAAUUGUUUCCAGUAAAUGAAAUCUUUCAUUAUGUUAGAGGAUGAUCUGCUUAUAUGGACUUGCGCAAUCCCUCUCCCCCCCCCCCCAAUGAGAUAGUUUCUUGGGUUGACUUAAGCUUAGGUCAUAUCUUUACAUGGUAUCAUAGUUAGGUUCAUCCCUAUUUGGGCUCCUAAUCCGUGCUUCAGUUGGGCUUAGGCAUGAAGGGGGUGUUAGAGUGGGUUAAAAUGCCACACUAAUUGGGGAAUCGACUAGUGGUCUGCUUAUAUAGACUUGAGCAACCAUCCCCUCACGAGCUAGCUUUUGGGGUGGAGUUAUACCAUGUAUUACAUGAAUUUGUUUUUUUGUGUGGUGGGGGAUAGAAUCUUGCAUUGGUUUAUAUGGACUUGCACAAACUUCCCCUCAGGAGCUAGCUUUUGGGGACGGUGGUUAGGCUCAAGUACCAUAUUUUUACAAUAGCAAAAUUUUAGUUUUAGGUUUCACCAUAUGUAAUUGAUUUACAUACUAAGCUAACUUCAGCAGCUUCGGAGAGUAGAAUUACUUUUGUGGUACAAUGAAGUAAAAUAAAUAGCUUUUAUUGAGUAGUUUUUUUUUCAAUGUAGUUUACUCAUUAAAUGAGAUAUCGUAUUCCUGUUGGCUGACUUCAGUUAGACUAUGAAAUACUGCUUCUUAAGUCUUUUAGAGGGGUAUAUUUCUUCAUCGUCCGUCUAUAAUCUGAUUAAGUAUUUGGUAACAAAUGCACAAUUUUGGGUUCAAAAGGAACAUAAUUUAUUUGUAUGCGUACAGGUGGUUGUGGAGCUUGUGUUGUUCUGAUCUCAAAGUAUGAACCGAAGUUUAAAAAGGUGGAAGAUUUUAGUGCAAGUUCGUGCCUUACACUUCUUUGUAGUUUAAAUGGUUGUUCAAUUACUACAAGUGAAGGCCUUGGGAACACCAGAGAUGGUUUUCACUCUAUUCAUGAAAGAUUUGCCGGUUUCUAUGCUUCUCAAUGCGGCUUUUGCACUCCUGGCCUGUGUAUGUCACUUUUCUCAGCUCUCGUCAACGCUGAUAAAGGAAACAAACCCAAUCCUCCACCAGGAUUCUCUAAGCUUACUUCAUCUGAAGCUGAAAAUGCCAUAGCGGGAAACCUUUGUCGGUGCACUGGCUACCGGCCCAUUGCUGAUGCCUGCAAGACUUUUGCUGCUGAUAUUGAUAUAGAGGAUUUGGGGUUCAAUUCUUUUUGGAAAAAGGGAGACUCCAAGGAAAUGAAAGUAAGUAAAUUACCUCCCUAUGAUCCAACCAAGAAUUUUAGUACAUAUCCUGAGUUCUUAAAAAGUGAAUCCGCCACGAAUUUGGACUCCUCAAAGUACCCUUGGUACAGUCCUGUUUCCAUUAAGGAGCUAUGGAGCUUGUUGAACUUCAAUGUGACGGUAAAUCGUGGAAGCUUUAAACUUGUCGUUGGGAAUACCGGCACAGGUUAUUAUAAGGAAACUCAGCGAUAUGAUCAUUAUGUCGAUCUCAGGCACAUUCCUGAACUCUCAAUCAUCAAAAGAGAUCAGACAGGCAUUGAAGUUGGAGCAACUGUGACUAUCUCUAAAUUCAUCUCAGUCUUGAAAGAGGAAAGUCAUAUCAAUUUGGGUUCAUAUGGGAAGUUGGUAUCCCAAAAAUUGGCUGACCACAUGGAGAAGAUUGCUUCACCAUUUGUUAGAAACUCUGCUAGUGUGGGAGGAAAUUUGGUCAUGGCACAGAAGAAUGGUUUUCCUUCUGAUAUCGCUACACUACUUCUCGGGCUUUCUGCUACUGUUAGCUUGAUGACCAGUCAUGGACCUGAAAACCACACAUGGGAGGAGUUAUUAUCAAGACCACCACUAGACUCAAAGACUGUGCUUCUAAGUGUUUGCAUCCCAUUUAAGAAAGAUCAAAGUUCUCACCAAACUCAUUCUAGAUUUUUGUUUGAAACCUAUCGAGCUGCUCCACGACCUCAUGGGAAUGCAUUGGCAUAUGUAAAUGCUGCGUUCCAGGCUGAUGUUUCUCACUGCAAUAACGGCGUCCUUAUAAACAAUAUCUAUUUGGCAUUUGGUGCAUAUGGCACAAAACAUGCAACAAGGGCUAAAAAGGUAGAAGAAUGU